CAAAAGGUUUUAAAAGAAACACACAUCCAAAAAGUUCUCAACUCUAGGUGCAGGACAGAGGAAAACAUUUUCUUUAUUUUUCAGACAUUAUAAUGUAUCCAUGUCCUUCUCAGGUUGACCACUUGACAUGUGAGAGCCUGAGGAGUUGUUCCCCUCUGUCCAUGUUCGAGGACUUGCUCUCUGUCUGCCUCCACUCUCUGCCUUCACUGUACCAAAGUUUGUCUGUUGAGUCUCCUCUAGUCUGGUUGACCACUUGACAUGUGAGAGCCUGAGGAGUUGUUUUCCAGACACAGGUAGAGCUGGCAGGGGCGUCACCCUGGGCCUGCCCUUUUGGGCUGGGCUUCAGCUGCAGAUCUAAAGGCUGCUUCCAGGGGCAUGGGGCCCUCAGCCUUUGUUUUUCUUUGCUUCUGCACCUUACAACAUACAUCACACCUUAUUUUCACACAUCCAAACACUGUUAACACCACUGACGCGUAACAUAUUUUACACAUCCCACUACGUAGUUAGAGCUAUCUUGAUUUGGAGUUAAAUAAAUUUACUUUUGGCUUGA